rnacentral:lncRNA from 1 species
AUCGAGUGCAUCGGUUUCGAGUCUAUAAAUACCAGAAUAAAGGAUAACAAUGUCACUAUCUUACGAAGCUGUCUUACUCGCAAACAAGCUUAGUUUCGCAUGGCUACAAUCAAGAUCAGCGCACAAUCAACGCCGACGUCGACGAUGACGACUAUCGCGACGACGACGGCGACCAAAUGUACAUGUGUAUCCCGUAGUAUCGUCACUUCGUUCAACGGUUACUCACAUUCCGUGAAAACUUACCCACCGACACACGACGAUUCUCGAUUGGUCGACUGACAGGCUAGUUCGCAACGCACACUAUUCCAACAGUAUUGUAAUGGCUGCUCCACAAUCUGCGCAGGUAAGAAUCACUCUGAGCGGUAAAGAUGUAUCCAUACCCACAGUAGCGUCGUGAAUAAGAGAGAAACUCGUAAAAAUUUUCAUCUUCGAAGCUACGCCAGCGACAUCUAUAGAUCGCGCUAAUCAAGAAAAGAGCGUGUAAUUUAAAUUUAAAAAGGGUACCAGCCCCAUAACCAGGAUUAUGUGAUCCGAUUUGGAGUUUCGAUCAAUGUUGGAAGUGAAACGAAUGCGUUUAGAUGAUUAACACGCUAAUUUAAUGUAUAUCGAACAUUAUGUAAAUAUUAAACUAUUAAUAACAAUGUAAAGAAAAGAAAAACAAAAGGUAAAAAAUUUGUUGUUUAAAUUUUGGUCAAUAAUUGUUCUGGGUAUAUAGUUUUGUCUUUGCAAUAAAUAGAUCAGAAAGUCAUAAAAUUGGAGAGAAUUUGAUCGAUAGAAAUUUUUAUUGUUAAAAUUGUAUAAUAUUGAAAAUAUUUUCUGUAUUAAGAGAUAUUAAAUAAACAAGUUCUAUCUACA